rnacentral:lncRNA from 1 species
CAUGGGUCAACGUUUGACCAAUGUCCUAAAAUGAAAAAUGACAGGUGACAGGAAUUGGCAGGUGUUGUCUUAAAUUCAUCUUAUGAAUUAAGAUAAAUCCUUUCUGAGCUAGACUGGCUCUAGUCAGACUGUGAGAAAUCUUCUCAAGAUUCUCUGGGUGAGCCAAAUCACAUUUGGCUCAGUCGAGAUAGAAAAGAUUACACGAGGAGAA